CUUACAGAGAAAAACCUCUACAGAGAAUAUAUCUAGGUGUUGUGGAUCAAUCCCACCUCCCCGGACUAUGAACCACGAGGUUCAGGGUUCAAAUCCCACCGCAGCACUAAGUAAUGUCCAUUGGCAAAACAUGAAUCUACGUUUGCAACUCUCCACCCAGGUGUAAAUGGGUGUAGGAAUGAAUUCCUUCAAUGCUGUGAGCGCUUAUGACGCCUAGCUUAGCUGGGGUAAUAUUGUAGCGCCUUGAGCAUCAUAAUGAUGGAUACCGAAAUGUUUCUGUUACAGAUGAUGGAACUGAGAGAAGGAGAAAACAGCUUUAGUUACUUCAUCUCCAGAUGUCAUAUUGAAUAGCCUGCAGUUACUGUCCAUUUACAACUUCAUGGGUAAGCACAGAAAAGAAGCAAGAAGGGCAUAUUUGAAAAGAAGAAGAUCAGCAAUGAGAGAAACAAAAUUAGCUGGGAAUGAUUUGGAUGAUACCCAAAUGAGUCACAUGAAAAUUGAUAGCCCAGCUAAUGAAGAUAACAGCCAUUGCAUCCAAACCAAAAUGACUGAAAAACACACCCCUUUAUUCUGUACGCCGCCAAAGUCAAAGUCAUCAUCAGCACUGCUACCAUCAUCGUCAAAGUCAUCAUCAGCACUGCUACCAUCAUCAAAUAUGUCAAAUUCAUCAGCACUGCUGCCAUCAUCAAAUACGUCGAAUUCAUCAGCACUGCUACCAUCGUCGUCAAGUACGUUGAAGUCAUCAGCGCUGCUACCAUCAUCGUCAAAUACAUCUAAGUCAUCAGCACUGCUAGCAUCGUCGUCAAAUACGUCAAAGUCAUCAGCACUGCUACCAUCAUUGUCAAAUACAUCUACAUGUAAGUCAUCAGCACUGCUAUCAUCAUCAUCAAUGUCAUCAUCUUCAACAGUUGCACUUUUAAGAAGAAGUAUUCCAAGGAAAGUGCUAAAUGACUGUCUUUUCACAAAGUGGAAUGAGUACAGACUGUUAUAUAAACAGUUUACUCUAAUCAAAAGACGCCUAAAUGUUAUAGAGCAUGGAGAGGGGGGUGGAAGUUUAAAUUGAUUGGUACUUGAUGUGAAAUAAACAACAUUGAUUGCUUAAGGCAAGUACAUGUAUAAGGGGCUAAAUUUAAUUGGUCUGGGAUGUUGAAUAUGUCUAUAAAUGUAGUAGCCUAUUUUACAGCAAUACUGCAAAACUAGAGCAAACUGAUGCAAUACCGGCUAUCUUGAGCACUGACCAUAGAUGAAUUAGGCUUUAGCCUAUUGCAUUUGUAGGCCUACAGUAUUCUAUUGGGCUGGUGAUUAUCUACUGUAGUUGGUCUUACAGUAGACCAGGUUAGAAUUUGAAAGAUGUUCUUGAUGCCUUGAUAUCAAAAUCAUGUGACAGCGAACAUCCUGUUAUCAUUUUUUUUUCUUUGAAUUUGGGACACUGUAAUAGUGUAGUUACAUGUAUAUAAACGCUUAUCUUAAAAUGGGAUUUUGAAUGAGUGCGAAGAUGUAUGCAAGAAGAUAAAAGGUACAUGUAUUAUCAUCCCUUUCAAAAUACUUGAUGUUCAUCAGUUACAUGUAAUCUUCCAAUAUAGAAAGCGGUGUGUAAUUCCAUGAUUCUUAAUCCUUUAGUUUGGUCAGAAAAUAUGAUUUUUAAAAAACAAUUAUUAGACUUAUUAAUUGCUAAAAUGCUA